rnacentral:tRNA from 1 species
GGGCGGUUAGCUCAGUGGUAGAGCACCGCCUUCACACGGCGGGGGUCACUGGUUCGAACCCAGUAUCGCCCACCA